rnacentral:rRNA from 1 species
UAGGGAAUCUUCCACAAUGGACGAAAGUCUGAUGGAGCAAUGCCGCGUGGAGGUGGAAGGCCUACGGGUCGUCAACUUCUUUUCUCGGAGAAGAAACAAUGACGGUAUCUGAGGAAUAAGCAUCGGCUAACUCUGUGACAG